UACAGAGGGUGCAAGCGUUAAUAGGAUUUACUGGGCGUAAAGCGCGCGUAGGUGGCCAAUUAAGUCAAAUGUGAAAUCCCCGAGCUUAACUUGGGAAUUGCAUUCGAUACUGGUUGGCUAGAGUAUGGGAGAGGAUGGUAGAAUUCCAGGUGUAGCGGUGAAAUGCGUAGAGAUCUGGAGGAAUACCGAUGGCGAAGGCAGCCAUCUGGCCUAAUACUGACACUGAGGUGCGAAAGCAUGGGUAGCAA
rnacentral:rRNA from 1 species